rnacentral:lncRNA from 1 species
UAUUCGACUACUAAUUAUUCUUCAACUACCUUCUCGUUUUUGUCUUCUUAUUCUUUUGAUUUCUUUUCACCAUCUUCUUUUAUUUUCUCCUCAUUUUCUUCUUAUGCUUCAACUAUCAUCUCCUUAUCUUUUUCUUCUUCUUCUUCUUCUUCUUCUUCAUCUGCUGCUUCAUCUGCUUCUUCUUCUUCUUCAUCUGCUACAUUCUCCUCUUCCAUUUUUUCUUCUUUUUUUUCUUCUUUACUUUUUUUCAUCUGUUGCAGGCAUAUCCAUCACUACGACUGCAAGUUCU